rnacentral:rRNA from 1 species
UGGGGAAUAUUGCACAAUGGGCGCAAGCCUGAUGCAGCCAUGCCGCGUGUAUGAAGAAGGCCUUCGGGUUGUAAAGUACUUUCAGCGGGGAGGAAGGGAGUAAAGUUAAUACCUUUGCUCAUUGACGUUACCCGCAGAAGAAGCACCGGCUAACUCCGUGCCAGCAGCCGCGGUAAUACGGAGGGUGCAAGCGUUAAUCGGAAUUACUGGGCGUAAAGCGCACGCAGGCGGUUGGUUAAGUCAGAUGUGAAAUCCCCGGGCUCAACCUGGGAACUGCAUCUGAUACAGGCAAGCUUGAGACAGGUAGAGGGGGGUAGAAUGCCAGGUGAGGCGGUGAAAGGCGUACAGAGCUGGAGGAAUACCGGUGGCGAAGGCGGGCCCCCGGACGAAGACUGUCGCACAGGUGCGAAAGAGUGGGGAGCAAACAGG